CGAGCACGCGCGUGUGGCAUAUCAAUAAGCGGAGGAAAAGAAACUAACAAGGAUUCCCUAGUAACGGCGAGUGAAGCGGGAAGAGCUCAAAUUUGAAAUCUUCAAGGUUCUACCUUGACGAAUUGUAGUUUAUAGAAGUGUUCUCUGUUAGUGGAGUGGCAAAAGUUCUUUGGAAUAGGACAUCAUAGAGGGUGAGAAUCCCGUAUUUGGUCAUUCCUCCUAGCGUUGUGAUACACUUUCAACGAGUCGGAUUGUUUGGGAAUGCAGUCCAAAAUGGGUGGUAAAUUUCAUCUAAAGCUAAAUAUUGGCGAGAGACCGAUAGCGAACAAGUACCGUGAGGGAAAGAUGAAAAGAACUUUGAAAAGAGAGUUAAACAGUACGUGAAAUUGUCAAAAGGGAAGCGUUUGACACCAGUGUUGUUUUUCCGAAAAUCAAUUACGAAUGUUUUAUUUUUGAGGAGUUAUGACUUCAUCGGCUUGCUUCCUUUCUUUACUGAAACUUUCUUAAUGCACUUUUCGGUUAACAAGUCAACAUCAAUUUCUUUUGUUGUAAAAGGGUAUGAGGAAGGUGGCUUUCUUUUCGGAGAAAGUGUUUAUAGCCUUGUGCCUCUGCAGUCGGAGAGAUUGAGGUCUGCAGCGUAGAUCCUUCGGGGUUAGGUACGUUUGUGCUAAGUUAUAGCUUUUCAUAGACAACUUGUUGACUAUGUUUAGUCUUGUAGCUUACUCGCUGACGCUAUUUUACCUACGCUUAGGAUGUUGAGUAGCGACAUACGCAC
rnacentral:rRNA from 1 species